UUUCAGCGGCAGCACCAUGAUGAUGUCUCUGACUCUACUGCUGGCCACCCUGGGGCUCCUUGUUCAGGGUUCAUGUGGAGACAUUGUCCUGACUCAGACUCCUGGAUCUUUGUCUGUUGCUCCAGAACAGACUGUUACUGUCAGAUGUAAAUCCAGUACAAAUAUUGGUGAUGACAUCGACUGGUACCUUCAGAAACCAGGAGAAGCUCCUAAACUCCUGAUUUAUGAUACUACAUAUCGUGAGUCUGGAGUUCCAGAUCGUUUUAGAGCAACAGCAGAUCGUGGUACUGAAUUCUCCUUAAUCAUCAGCAGAGUUCAGACGGUUGAUGCAGGAGUUUAUUACUGUCAACAGCAUAACAGCCUCCCAUUCACACAGUGAAACAACGUCGUACAAAAACCUCCUGCAGCU